AUUGAACGCUGGCGGCAGGCCUAACACAUGCAAGUCGAGCGGAGCGGCGGACGGGUGAGUAAUGCCUAGGAAUCUGCCUGGUAGUGGGGGAUAACGUCCGGAAACGGGCGCUAAUACCGCAUACUAUCAGAUGAGCCUAGGUCGGAAUAGCUAGUUGGUGGGGUAACGGCUCACCAAGGCGACGACCCCUAGCUGGUCUGAGAGGAUGACCAGCCACACGGGAACUGAGACACGGUCCAGGCUCCUACGGGAGGCAGCGGUGGGGAAUAUUGCACAAUGGGAGCAAGCCUGAUGCAGGCAUGCCGCGUGUAGGAAGAAGGCCUUCGGGUUGGAAAGUACUUUCAGCGGGGAGGCGUUACCCGCAGAAGAAGCACCGGCUAACUCCGUGCCAGCAGCCGCGGUAAUAC
rnacentral:rRNA from 1 species